rnacentral:rRNA from 1 species
CCGAUGGCGACCGGCGCACGGGUGAGUAACACGUAUCCAACCUGCCGAUAACUCGGGGAUAGCCUUUCGAAAGAAAGAUUAAUAUCCGAUAGCAUAUCAAGAUCGCAUGAUCUUGAUAUUAAAGAAUUUCGGUUAUCGAUGGGGAUGCGUUCCAUUAGUUAGUUGGCGGGGUAACGGCCCACCAAGACGACGAUGGAUAGGGGUUCUGAGAGGAAGGUCCCCCACAUUGGAACUGAGACACGGUCCAAACUCCUACGGGAGGCAGCAG